rnacentral:lncRNA from 1 species
CGGAGUGUGGUUCUUCAGUCAUAAAUAAUGAAGGGAUACUGCUCUCUCCAAACUACCCAAUGAACUAUAACAACCACAAGUGCAUCUACAGCAUCAAGAUUGACGACGGCAAAGACAACACAGCCCAUUUUCCCAUUUACUGGCUCAUCCAUGUUGGGGUUGACGCUCAUUUCCACUUCAAACCACCUCUGGUUGGAAUUCUACAGCGAUGCAGAAAACACAGGAGAAGGAUUCAAACUGGUGUACUCAAGUAAGUUAGCAGUGAACACCACUGUUUAGUAUAGAGCUAAGGCCCAAUCUGUUUCUCCAAGACUUCAUUGAAGAUUCAUUCAGGAGGUGGCAAAAAACCCCACAACAACAUUUCAGGUUCCACUUGCCUCAUUUAAGGUCAGAGUUCAUGAAAUGGAAGUUUUAGAGUGGCCUAGGACUUAAAUCAGAUUGCAAUUCUUUGGCAUGACCUUAAACAACUCAUGCUCAUGCUUGAAAAGCCUCCAUUGUUUCUGAAUUAAAACAAUUCUGCAAAGACGAAACUUGAAGGCUCACUGCCAGGUAUCACAAAUGCCUUAUUAUACUUGAUGCUGCCAAAGGUGGUAUAACCAGUCAUUAACUUAUUAGGUUUAGCAGACAAUGACAUUUUCCCACAGGGCCAGGCAGGUUUGGAAAUCUUUUUUUGCUUAAUUAAUAAAUUAAUCAUCAUUUAAAAAGCAUAUUUUGUAUUGACUCUGCCAGUAUCUUUGUCUAGUCUUUGAAUUUUUUUGCAUUAUCUGGGGCAGAUGUACAUACAUUCUAGCAGUAUGCCUCAAAUUAUUCACCAGUUAGAUGCCUCAUGACAGCUGCUGAUUUCUGACAAAUGCAACAGGCUUACUAGAACAGUUUAACUCUAAAUGGAUGGAUCACAGAAGGAAAAAUGAAAUUUUCCACUGAACCGAUCACAAGAAACAUGUCACGUUUGAUUAACAAAGCUUUCAGCAUAGGACGACGUGGUAAACAUGUGUUUUGAUGUUCAACAAAGCACACCCACAUUUGGCAGUGCCCUCUUAGACGCACAGUUGGAAUUCUAAUUGUUUAAAUGGUGUCAUGAAGAGUGAUCGCUUAGUAUUAUUCACUUUGAAGUGUCAGGAUCCUGGGUCUGACCCAGUGUUGAGUUUCUUGUGUCUCAGUGUUUUUGUGCUAUGAUGUAUGUUCUAAGUUCUCUUUGUUGCCCCAGUUUAUUCUAUAGUCUAGUGUCUUGGGUUUCUUGUAUUCUGUUUAGUUUUCUGAGUAAUUAGUAGCUGCCCUCUGUGCCUCCUUUAUGUUGAUCUCUGUGUUUCUUUGUUGCUCUGUCUCCCCUGUCAGCUGUAUCUCCUAGUGCAGUCCACGUCUCUGUGUUACAUUUCCUGUUUUACUUUAAAGGUCUGUGUCCUACGUGAAUAUAUUGUGUUUCGCUUCCCUUGGCUCUCGUUAUCUCUGAUUGCUCCCACCUGUGCUCCCCUUCUGUGUCUCAUUCCCCUCGAUAUUUCCCAGUGUAUUUAAGGACACGCUGGAGAGAUUAUUGCCGUUUCUCAAUUCUCAAGUACGUGAGUACGUACUCGCAUUCUCGGCGAGUACGUACUGGCCGAGAACGCACGGGAGUACGGACUCGCCAAGAACGCGAGUACGUACUCACGUACUUGAGAAUUGAGAAACGGCCUUUGUCUGAGUUUCGGACGAAAUGCAUUCUGGGAUAUUUAGCUGUACCAAGUCCACACAAGUCACCACCGAUGCAUGCUCGAUAAAACGGGCGGAGCAAGAACACAUCCGGGACUUUUUCGCGUUCUCGGUUUGAUGCGUACUUCGAAUUGGAACAGUACUUGGUCUCCGACUGAUGACGUAUCACGAGUACACGAGAACGCAAGUAUGCACAAGUACGCAUAUUGAGAAACGGCCUAUAUCUCUAGGCUGGCCUGGAAACACCUUGGUGGAGGUGGCUGGGGAGAGGGAGGUCUGGGCUUCUCUGCUUAGGCUGCUGCCCCUGCAACCCGGUCCUGGAUAAGCGGAAGAAGAUGGAUGGAUGGAUGUUUUCAGUUUACCUCUCUAUUGUUGCUGACUUUAGCGAUGGCUUCUGGAGAAAGUCUCUCUUGGAUCAGAAUACCAACUUUUGUCUCUGUUAUCAAUCUGACCAUUAAUCUGCAUUCAAAGAACAAAUUAGGGCUUUACUCGUGUUGCCAGCUCACAUAAAAGGCAUUUUAAGGGCGUUUAUCGUGACGCAAACACAAACUUCACCAACCAUACCGAUUAUUGACCAACCUUUUCUUUCUCUGUGCCAAGCUGAGCUUUGCUACAGUAUUAAAGCGCCCUUAAGAGCGCUCUCACCUUAAGCAUAACCAGGUAGUCGUCAUGCCGCUGUAUCUUGAGAAUGUUUGACAAAGCUGUAACUCCUGCUUUGAAAUCUGGAGAAACCUGGAAAAACAAACACAUUGCGGUUUUAACUCUUAUCCUGCGAAGAUUU